CACAAUUAAACAAAAAAGUGAAAUAUGCUAUAAAAAUAUGCUUUACCACUGAAAAUGUUUAUAAUUUUAUUAUAGUUUCAUUAAAUAGCAUUAAUAUGAUUCAUUUUCUAGUAAUGUAUGAUAGAUGUCUGACAUUAGGUUGCAAAAGUGUUCCCACACGUGUCAUUCAAAAAAUAGAUAUAUUAUCAUAUUUGUUAGUUAUACUUCAAUAGUGCUAGUCAUGCCAUAGCACAAUAUCACAAUAUCACAUUUCACCCUGAUAGGCAAUGAGGAUGCACGGCAGGUCAGUCAUCCAAGUCAGGAACAAAGUUCAGGAAGGUUUAAUACCUACCAUUAUACUGCACAUUUCCUGCUGUUUUUGAUAAAAUUGGUUAACAAUGGCAUUUUAGAACUUACCAGUAACCUACCUUGUCACUCACAGAAUUGUGUUUGAGAGGCCAAAAAAGUUUUUUAUACAAAACAAGACAGGAUAUUCCAUCAUAUUAGUAAUUCACCAGAUAACAUAAACUGAAUUUUUCCUGUUGAAUCCCUUGAAGAACAAGAGCUCAGCAUUGAACUACAAGUCCCAUGAUGCCGUGCAUACCUUUAGAAUGGCAAAGCAUCAUUAUAGUUUUAAACCAUCUGGGGAUCUACCUUUUGGGCACCCCUGAGCUAGGCAAAUCCUUUCCACUAUUCGUCAAUGCAGAGUUUAAUUCAUAGAAAUGUAAUGAGCUAAUUUAGUGAGCUAUAGGGUUAAGCAUGCAAAUCGAAAUAAAAGAAAUAUGCCAUAUUUGUUCCUAUGUGUACUUAUAAAGCAACAGAGAUACUGCUUAUUUGUG